UUAUCUAUCACUUCCAAAGUUCAGGAGCUUCAGAACUUAUUAAAAGGAAAAGAGGAACAGAUGAAUACCAUGAAGGCUGUUUUGGAAGAGAAAGAGAAAGACCUAGCCAAUACAGGGAAGUGGUUACAGGUGAGAAAUUAAAAACAAUAAAAAAUAGCCUUUUUAUACUUGACUAUCAAUUUAAUUUACACCUAUUCUUUUUAAGGAUCUUCAAGAAGAAAAUGAAUCUUUAAAAGCACAUGUUCAGGAAGUAGCACAACAUAACUUGAAAGAGGCCUCUUCUGCAUCACAGUUUGAAGAACUUGAGAUUGUGUUGAAAGAAAAGGAAAAUGAAUUGAAGAGGUUAGAAGCCAUGCUAAAAGAGAGGGAGAGUGAUCUUUCUAGCAAAACACAGCUGUUACAGGAUGUACAAGAUGAAAACAAAUUGUUUAAGUCCCAAAUUGAGCAGCUUAAACAACAAAACUACCAACAGGCAUCUUCUUUUCCCCCUCAUGAAGAAUUAUUAAAAGUAAUUUCAGAAAGAGAGAAAGAAAUAAGUGGUCUCUGGAAUGAGUUAGAUUCUUUGAAGGAUGCAGUUGAACACCAGAGGAAGAAAAACAAUGAGGGCAUGGUAAUGCAGCAGCAGCAGCAGCGCUGGAGACAUUGAACCCGUGUGAAAAGAGCCAGGACACUGGAGGCCAGCAGAUAGCAGUGUCAGUCUUUCCUUCUAGUUUUGCCACUUCGUUUUCUGUGUAUACUUGGCUCAGUUUCCUAACUUACUUGAGCUGUGGUUUCCCUAUCUAUAGAAUGGGAAUAAAUACCUCAUGGGGUUGUUGUAACGGUGAGAAUUUGUGAACUGCCAAGUACAGUGGUUGGCAUAUAUUAAGUAAUAAAUGGUGAUUAUUGGCUUUUUA
rnacentral:lncRNA from 1 species